GGGGUUUAUUCAUCAUUUUCACCCUGUUGGUUCUGGUCAACCUUUCAAGUUCACUGAUAAAGAAGGACCAACUGGAAGAACUGAAAGAAAACAUUCAGAAGUUACAACAAGCAGCAGUGACAAGGAAGGAUAAUCUCAAGUUAGACAGAUUCUAUAUUCCACUAUUCUAUGAUGAUUUUAUGCACUUAAUGGACAUUUUGUCUGAAACUCUAAAUACAACAAUGGGAGAUUUUCCACCAGUGUUGGAUUUAAUGAAUGACCUGAAAACAUUCCUGAAAGCCACCAAGAAGUACAUAGACAAAUACCUUGAGACGACAGCUGGAGAAAUCAAGGACUAUGAAGAGAAACUAAAUGUUGUGAUGGAGCGGCUAACACGCCUAGAGAAACAUAAAGAUGAAUUGUAACACAUUAGUCUACAUCCGUCUCUUAUAUUGUGUGUAUUCUGUUUGUAAAUCUUCUCCUUUGUACCGUGCAGUUUCAGUUUCAGUUUUUGCCUUGAGAGUGGCCUUGAUAUUUUAAAUUGCUGAAUAAAGCUAACUGUAAACUUGUGUUUGACCUGAAAAAAUAACUUGUCAAGUUUUUUUUUUUAUCAUUAUCUUCAUUAUAAAAAAAUUGUAAUGCAAGUACAAACCAAUGAUGAUGGGGAUUUUGUGU